rnacentral:rRNA from 1 species
AGCCGCGGUAUCCAGCUCCAAUAGCGUAUAUUAAAGUUGUUGCAGUUAAAAAGCUCGUAGUUGAAUUUCGGGAUCAAUAUAUUGGUCGUGCCUCCGGUAUGCACUGGUAUCAUUGAUUUCUACCUUCUGACGAACUAUGAUGUCAUUAAUUUGGUGUCAUGGGGAAUCAGGACUGUUACUUUGAAAAAAUUAGAGUGUUUAAAGCAGGCACACGCUUGAAUACAUUAGCAUGGAAUAAUGAAAUAGGACGUUUGACCCUAUUUUGUUGGUCUCUAGGAUCGACGUAAUGAUUAAUAGGGAUAGUUGGGGGCAUUAGUAUUCAAUUGUCAGAGGUGAAAUUCUUGGAUUUAUUGAAGACUAACUACUGCGAAAGCAUUUGCCAAGGAUGUUUUCAUUAAUCAAGAACGAAAGUUAGGGGAUCGAAGACGAUCAGAUACCGUCGUAGUCUUAACCAUAAACUAUGCCGACUAGGGAUCGGAUGAUGUUAAUUUUUUAAUGACUCA